rnacentral:rRNA from 1 species
GAUGAACGCUGGCGGCGUGCCUAAUACAUGCAAGUCGAGCGAACGGACGAGAAGCUUGCUUUUCUGAUGUUAGCGGCGGACGGGUGAGUAACACGUGGAUAACCUACCUAUAAGACUGGGAUAACUUCGGGAAACCGGAGCUAAUACCGGAUAAUAUUUUGAACCGCAUGGUUCAAAAGUGAAAGACGGUCUUGCUGUCACUUAUAGAUGGAUCCGCGCUGCAUUAGCUAGUUGGUAAGGUAACGGCUUACCAAGGCAACGAUGCAUAGCCGACCUGAGAGGGUGAUCGGCCACACUGGAACUGAGACACGGUCCAGACUCCUACGGGAGGCAGCAGUAGGGAAUCUUCCGCAGUGGGCGAAAGCCUGACGGAGCAACGCCGCGUGAGUGAUGAAGGUCUUCGGAUCGUAAAACUCUGUUAUUAGGGAAGAACAUAUGUGUAAGGAACUGUGCACAUCUUGACGGUACCUAAUCAGAAAGCCACGGCUAACUACGUG